UAGGGUUUGGAUUAGGCUUUGAUUUAGGAUUUAGGAUUAGGAUUUAGGAUUUGAAUUAGGAUUUUAUUUAGGGUUAGGGUUUGAUUUAGGAUUAAGAUUUGGUUUAGGAUUAGGGUUUAGGGUUUAGGAUUAGGAUUUUAUUUAGGGUUUAGGAUUGGGAUUAGGGUUUGGUUUAGGGUUUAGGAUUUGGUUGGGAUUUGGUUUAAGGUUUUUUUAGGGUUUUAUUUAGGGUUUAGGAUUUUAUUAGGAUUUAAGAUUUAAUUAGUUUUGGCCUAAAGUUUGAAAGAAGUUCAAUAGGAUUUUAACUAGAAUUAAAUUAAGAUUGAAUUGAGAUGUAUUUGAGUGAUAUUUGUGAUUCUUCUAAUAUUUUUUUAAGAAUUCUAAUUGUUUGUUUGAAAUUUCUUUGAGGUUUUUUUGAAUUUGAUUAAGCUUGCUUAGUAUUAUUAUGGUCUA
rnacentral:lncRNA from 1 species